GACGAACGCUGGCGGCGUGCUUAACACAUGCAAGUCGAACGGAAAGGCCCUGCUUUUGUGGGGUUCUCGAGUGGCGAACGGGUGAGUAACACGUGAGUAACCUGCCCUUUACUUUGUGAUAACUUCAGGAAACUGGUGCUAAUACCUGAUAGGAGCUCCUGCUGCAUGGUGGUGGUUGGAAAUUUUCGGCGGUUGGGGAUGGACUCGCGGCUUAUCAGCUUGUUGGUGGGGUAGUGGCUUACCAAGGCUUUGACGGGUAGCCGGCCUGAGAGGGUGACCGGGGACAUGGGGACUGAGAUACGGACCAGAAGCCAACGGGAGGCAGGAGUGGGGAAUAUUGCACAAUGGGGGGAAGCCUGAUGCAGAAACGCGGCGUGCGGGAUGACGGCCUUCGGGUUGUAAACCGCUUUAGCCUGUGACGAAGCGUGAGUGACGGUAAUGGGUAAAGAAGCACCGGCUAACUACGUG
rnacentral:rRNA from 1 species